GACGAACGCUGGCGGCGUGCUUAACACAUGCAAGUCGAACGGAGUGGCGAACGGGUGAGUAACACGUGGGUGAUCUGCCUUGCACUUCGGGAUAAGCGUGGGAAACUGGGUCUAAUACCGGAUAGUGCAAGAUGAGCUCGCGGCCUAUCAGCUUGUUGGUGGGGUAAUGGCCUACAAAGGCGUCGAAGUGUAGCCGGCCUGGGAGAGUGUAAGGCCACAUGGGGACUGAGAUACGGCCCAGACUCUGACGGGGCGACGCAGUGGAGAAUAUUGCACAACGGGCGGAAGCCUGAUGCAGCGACGCCGGGUGGGGGAUGAAGUGCUUCGGGUUGUAAACUCCUUUCGACAGGGACGCGGUACCUGUAUAAGAAGCACCGGCUAACUACGUGCCAGCAGCCGCGGUAAUAC
rnacentral:rRNA from 1 species